rnacentral:lncRNA from 1 species
GUAUUGAAAAGGACCAAAUAAAUACAGAAUAAAAAAAAUAAAACAAAGCCAAACCCAAAAUGAUAGUAAUUCGAUUCUUCUUCUUUAGAGAGUUCAAUAGAAAUACCUUAUUAAAACAGUGAUAACGAUAUAGAUCUAAGAAUGAAAAAAAACGGCAAAAUGUGUUUAAUUUGCAAUGAAGAAGGCAAAAACAAUGAGUUAUGGUUUCGAUGUGACACGUGCUCUAAAUGAGCUCAUUCUGAAUGCACACAUCCAAAUUAACUUAAAAGAAUCAAGGGCCAAAGUAUGGACGAUGCGACUUCUGUUAAAAUUAGAAUUAGGAAAAAAUCGUUCAAAUAAAGCGAACGACAACCUAGUGUUGAAGCUAAUUUUUUAUGGUAUAUUAUAUUAGGUUAACAUCAUGGCCAUUCCAAUAAGAUUUUGAGGUUUAAAAAAGACACGUUGUCAAAAAAAUAAAUAAUUCAUUAAAAACUAUAUAUAGGCCUUGUCCUUUUUCGUGCCACCCUUGCCUGCAGUUUACCCAAUACAGUUUGUCAGUGUAUCAAUUCUUGUGGGUAAGUUGACAAACAUUGCAUCUUUAAAAAAUAUAUAUAUGAAAAAACUAUGUUUAGCUAGGGCUAUAUUUUGUAAGUCGAUUACUGUGACAAGCAAUUUUAAAAUAUCAACAAAUAAAUAUUUUUAGUUUGGAAAAAGAAGUGCAAUCUGGAAAUUGUAAUCAGAAUGUGUAAUUUCCCAUUCCGCAUAAGGCAGCAUUAUAUUUUCCAAUAUAUUAACAAAUUCUAACCUGUCCAUUAUGCCCCUACUUCUGUAAAUAAGACCUAUUCCAUAAGUAGAAAAGCACACCAUAUUUUUGAAAUACAUUGAUAUUGCCGCCACCAUGUUUUAAAGUAGUAUAGGAACGUACUUUAAGUCAAGCCUUUUUCCUGCCGGACGUUUUAUAAAUUAUCUUUUAUCAUUUGAAAACAUAAGAAAUUUAGAUUUGUCAAAAAAAGUUCCUUUUUCCCUAGUGUUGAAGCUAAUUUUUUAUGGUAUAUUAUAUUAGGUUAACAUCAUGGCCAUUCCAAUAAGAUUUUGAGGUUUAAAAAAGACACGUUGUCAAAAAAAUAAAUAAUUCAUUAAAAACUAUAUAUAGGCCUUGUCCUUUUUCGUGCCACCCUUGCCUGCAGUUUACCCAAUACAGUUUGUCAGUGUAUCAAUUCUUGUGGGUAAGUUGACAAACAUUGCAUCUUUAAAAAAUAUAUAUAUGAAAAAACUAUGUUUAGCUAGGGCUAUAUUUUGUAAGUCGAUUACUGUGACAAGCAAUUUUAAAAUAUCAACAAAUAAAUAUUUUUAGUUUGGAAAAAGAAGUGCAAUCUGGAAAUUGUAAUCAGAAUGUGUAAUUUCCCAUUCCGCAUAAGGCAGCAUUAUAUUUUCCAAUAUAUUAACAAAUUCUAACCUGUCCAUUAUGCCCCUACUUCUGUAAAUAAGACCUAUUCCAUAAGUAGAAAAGCACACCAUAUUUUUGAAAUACAUUGAUAUUGCCGCCACCAUGUUUUAAAGUAGUAUAGGAACGUACUUUAAGUCAAGCCUUUUUCCUGCCGGACGUUUUAUAAAUUAUCUUUUAUCAUUUGAAAACAUAAGAAAUUUAGAUUUGUCAAAAAAAGUUCCUUUUUCCCUAGUGUUGAAGCUAAUUUUUUAUGGUAUAUUAUAUUAGGUUAACAUCAUGGCCAUUCCAAUAAGAUUUUGAGGUUUAAAAAAGACACGUUGUCAAAAAAAUAAAUAAUUCAUUAAAAACUAUAUAUAGGCCUUGUCCUUUUUCGUGCCACCCUUGCCUGCAGUUUACCCAAUACAGUUUGUCAGUGUAUCAAUUCUUGUGGGGAUAAUAAAUUUGUAUGUGAAGAUUGUGGAAAGUCAUUUUCUUCCACUUUAACAUCGUAUCGGCAUAUGAGGGCCAUACAUAAUAAAAAACAGAGUGAAAAAGAGAGCCUACACAUUAUUUGCCCCCUUUGCCUGGACAAAGAGAAGUUUACAUCAUAUGAUUCUUUAAUUAGACACUUUCAUAGUAUUCAUAAUAUACAUAUUAAAGAAUCUGUUUUAAAUUUUAGGAAUUUGGCAGAGUUUGAAAUUUGAAAUUAGGUCUGCAGAAAACAGAGAGGUAGAUUAUGCUGUUCACCGAAGAAAAAAUGUCCUAAUGGAGAAGAAUUUAUUUACUAUAAUUGUAAUAGAAGUGAUUCAAAAGGAUAUGUCAGUACAUGUUUGCAAUAUAAUUUAAAGUCUAAAGGAAGCAUUCGUAUUCAAGGAAUUUGUCCAUCAAGAAUAAUAGUUAAAAUUCUAGUAGAUGGAGUGAUUAGAGCAAGAUUUUUUGAAACCCACGUAGGACACCCUGACGAAUUAAGAAGCAAAAGGCUAACAAAAUCGGAACAGGAGAUAAUUGUGGAUAAAUUAGCAGCAGGAGUUUCAAAUAAGAAAAUUAUUCAGGAGGCCAGAAGCAUAGACGGCAAUAAACUAGUAGCUAAUACGAAAAUUUAAUAUUGACCAGAAAAGGGACGGUGAUGAUAUGAUAGCCACAGUGUUAAAAAUUCAGGAAUGGAACAGUGGUGGAAAAAUAAUGGAUUUUUAUUUAAAUAUAUAUAGAUAGGAGAAAAUUAUCCAGGAUUAGAAGCUGAUUUUGCAGUUGGAUAUAUGAAUGCUAUUAUGGAAAAAAUUUAGAGAUUUUCCAAAAAUAAUCUGUAUAGGUGGAACUCAUGGAACAAAUAGGAGAAACUGGGACUUGACAAUUGUGCUAAUAAGAGAUGAACAAAAUAUGGGUUUUCCAGUGGCAUCCUUACUUAGUAACAGAUUAUAUCAAUUAAUUUAAGAGUUUUUUUAGGGCACUUAAAACUAGAUUAGGGGAAGCAGUUCAAGCUAAAUAUAUAAUGAGUGACGACGAUCCAAAAUAUUACAAUGCAUGGAUAAUGGAUAUUUGUAGAGCAUAAACCAAGAAGAUUACUACAGCUGUAUAUAAUUUAUACAGCUGAAAGAGAACUAUUUUAGGCAAUUAGAAGAAGAGGAGGAAACUAAUUUUCAGAAUUACCUGAAAAAUCAAGAGAGAAUAAUGAUGUGGGCGCAUAGAAUCAAUGCCGGAAUUAAUACAAAUAUGGCAAUUGAAAUCUUAAAUAAAGUUCUGAAGUACAACAAAAUGAAUGGAAAGCAGAAUAUUAGGAUUGAAAAACUGUUGGAUUUACUGGAUGAACUUGUUGAUGAAAGAAUGUGGAAAAGGAUUAUAAACAUGGAAAGGCCAAAUGCAAAUAAUUAUCAGCACAAAAUAUGUCAGAGUGCACAUAAAAAAGCAGAAGAAAUGGUGGGUAAUAACGGUAAUGUAUCAUAUUCUUAAUUAGGACAUUUUAAGGUUAGGUCGUUUAGUGAUAAUCAUGAAUUGUAUUGUGUAAAUUAUAAUGGGGUUUGUGAUGAGCACUGUAGUGCAAUGUAUUGUGAGAAGUGUAAAAUAUGUAUACAUAAAUAUAAUUGUGAUUGUCCAGAAUAUACUGUUAAAAGUGCCAUGUGUAUUGCCAUGUGCCAAGCAUAUACAUGCUGUAGCUUUAUUUGAGCAGAGGAGCGAAUAUGUUUCAGGUUUCAUGUAUGAAAUGCAAGAAGAUAAUAAUCUGUAUGUCAAUGAACUUUCAACAAGCAAGACAGUUUAUGGGGAUGAAGUAAAUCAUUUUCUUGACGAGACUGAAAAUAGAAUGAAUGUGACAAUUGAUUUUGAAAAAAAGCGUGAGAUUUGUCUAGAAUAGACUUGUGCUCUGAAAUUCGUAAUUAUGGUGAUGGAUUGAGUGAACAUGAUUUAGAAAAAUUUAUGGCUGAUUUUAGAAAUUUUAUGCAGACAGUAAAGCAAAAAGAAAUGGUGAUGAGUAAAAAAAGAAAAAUAGAAAAGCAGCAGUAUUAUCGCAACAAAAAAACCUAAAUAAAUUUAUUCAUAACAAAAUGUUUAUAACUAUUUUAUUAUUGCAUGACAUUGCUAUUGUGAGUUCCCUAUUCUGGUAUUAUAUCUAAGUGGUGUGGGCUGUUUGUUUUCAUGUAAUUCGUUGGCCCUUGGUGAAGGAUACUUAUAAAAUAUAUUUUUUUAUUUUGUUUACUUUGUUAUAAUUAAAUAAUAUAUUAGUGUUUGUUUCA